ensembl:lncRNA
ACAGAAUCCAAAUAUUUUGAGGCUUGGACUCCAGCAAAGUUCACAGAUGUGAAAAGAGAAUCAAUAGAGAAUUCCCUUGGAAGGCCGCCCCUCCUUUCUCCCCACUCUCUGCCUGGAAACCCAAUGGAUCUGUUAGAAGAUUAAGGGAGACUUUUGCAUCUGGAAAAGAGCCAUCAGCACUAACUUAGAAUCAGCAGACCUUCUCUAGAGUCCACAAAGAACACAUCAAGAUAAUAUCAAGGUAGAGGGAACCCACCUAGACCAAGGACAUGGUUGAAAAUAAGAAAAUGUCUAAGUCUGAAACCAAAAUGACUUCUGUGAAGUUGGAUGAAAAAUCUAAUUCAAGAACUACAGGGCAAAUAUCAUUAAGGUCUCGGAAACAAAGAGGUGAGUCAUCCCUGUAUGACAGCGAAGAGAUAGAAGUGAUGAAGUGUAGAAAGAGUGAGUCUCCAAUUCCUUUCUUUCCACCACUGCUACUUCCUU